rnacentral:rRNA from 1 species
AAUUUGAAACCCUCGGGAUUGUAAUUUGAAGAUUUGGCAUUGGAAAAAGCUAACCCAAGUUGCUUGGAAUAGUACGUCAUAUAAGGUGACAACCCCGUCUGGCUAACCGUUCUCCAUGUAUUGCCUUAUCAAAGAGUCUAGUUGUUUGGGAAUGCAGCUCAUAGUGGUUGGUAAACUCCAUCUAAAGCUAAAUACUGGUGAGAGACCGAUAGCGAACAAGUACUGUGAAGGAAAGGUGAAAAGAACUUUGAAAAGAGAGUGAAAUACUAUGUGAAAUUGUUGAUAGGGAAGGAAAUGAGUGGAGAGUGGCCGAGGUUUCAGCCGCCCCUCGUGGGCGGUGUACUGCCGACGCCGAGUCAUCGAUAGCGAGACGAGGGUUACAAAUGGGAGCGCCUUCAGGCGUUCUCCCCUAACCCUCCACACUGCCACCGACGACAUAAUCCGCCCAUUUCACCCGUCUUGAACACGGGGAACAAAAAAUGGUGGCCUCUUUGGG